GGGAUGACGUCAAGUCAUCAUGCCCCUUAUGACCUGGGCUACACACGUGCUACAAUGGGCAGUACAACGAGGAGCGAACUUGUGAAGGCAAGCGAAUCUCUGAAAGCUGUUCUCAGUUCGGACUGUAGGCUGCAACUCGCCUACACGAAGCUGGAAUCGCUAGUAAUCGCGGAUCAGCACGCCGCGGUGAAUACGUUCCCGGGCCUUGUACACACCGCCCGUCACACCAUGAGAGUUUGUAACACCCAAAGCCGGCCGGAUAACCUAGUUUACUAGGAGUCAGCCGUCUAAGGUGGGACAAAUGAUUAGGGUGAAGUCGUAACAAGGUAACC
rnacentral:rRNA from 1 species